GGAGAGAUGGCAGAGUGGUCGAAUGCGUCUGACUCGAAAUCAGAUUUACCGGCAACGGUAACGGGGGUUCGAAUCCCUCUCUCUCCGCCA
rnacentral:tRNA from 1 species